rnacentral:rRNA from 1 species
GCGAAUACCUUACCUACCCUUGACAUGUACGGAAGCCUGCUGAGAGGUGGGUGUGCUCGAAAGAGAGCCGUAACACAGGUGCUGCAUGGCUGUCGUCAGCUCGUGUCGUGAGAUGUUGGGUUAAGUCCCGCAACGAGCGCAACCCUUGUCCCUAGUUGCUACGCAAGGGCACUCUAGGGAGACUGCCGGUGACAAACCGGAGGAAGGUGGGGAUGACGUCAAGUCCUCAUGGCCCUUAUGGGUAGGGCUUCACACGUCAUACAAUGGACGGUACAGAGGGUUGCCAACCCGCGAGGGGGAGCCAAUCCCAGAAAGCCGUUCGUAGUCCGGAUUGCAGUCUGCAACUCGACUGCAUGAAGUCGGAAUCGCUAGUAAUCGCGGAUCAGCAUGUCGCGGUGAAUACGUUCCCGGGUCUUGUACACACCGCCCGUCACACCAUGGGAGCGGGAUGUACCAGAAGUAGGUAGGCUAACCGCAAGGGGGCCGCUUACCACGGUGCGUUUCGUGACUGGGGUGAAGUCGUAACAAGGUAAC